CUCACAUAAAAAAACUAAGUAUAUACUUAAUCAUAAUUCUGGAAAUUGCAUAAUUAAUGAAUUUUCACCUACUUGCUAACAUUCUCCUGCUUCAACUUGGUUGCCACUAUCUCUGCUACAGUUGCUUUUGCUUUUAACCUAUCCACGAAUCCUUAAAGCUACAGUAAAUUGUGCUUACUUAAAGGACUUUUUCCUAUCGCUAAUAAUACUCUGGUUAAAUAAAU